GUUUAAUCUGGCAACUUCAAGAAUUAUAAACCCCAAGUUUGAGUGCCAAUGGGAGGAAAUCUUUUGGAGAUCAAUUAACUGCUGCAUUUGAUCAUUAUGGUUGUAGAGAUGAUUACAAGGAAUGUAAGCUGCCGUGUUGGAGAAGCAUGGACUAACCUGCUGGAGGAAACUUGACCCAAGCAACAGCCAGCACUGAUUCCAAGACACAUGAAUGAGGCCAUCAAGGACCAGCAUCCUCUGGCAAUCUGUUGACUGACUGCAAACGCAUGAGUGAGACCAGCUCACCAUGGGAAGCAGAAAUGAAUCGCCCCAGCUGAGCCCAGCCCAAAUUGUUAACUUACAAAAUCAAGAAAACAUAAAUGAUAAACAUAA